rnacentral:rRNA from 1 species
UACGUAGGGCGCAAGCGUUGUCCGGAAUUAUUGGGCGUAAAGAGCGUGUAGGCGGCUGGGUAGGUCCGUUGUGAAAACUCGAGGCUCAACCUCGAGACGCCGAUGGAAACCCUCCAGCUAGAGUCCGGAAGAGGAGAGUGGAAUUCCUGGUGUAGCGGUGAAAUGCGCAGAUAUCAGGAAGAACACCCGUGGCUAAGGCGGCUCUCUAGUACGGUACUGACGCUGAGACGCGAAAGCGUGGGGAGCGAACAGG